GACGAACGCUGGCGGCGUGCUUAACACAUGCAAGUCGAGCGAUGAAACUUCUUCGGAAGUGGAUUAGCGGCGGACGGGUGAGUAACACGUGGGCAACCUGCCUCAUAGUGGGGAAUAGCCUCUCGAAAGGGAGAUUAAUACCGCAUAAGAUUGUAGUUCCGCAUGGAACAGCAAUUAAAGGAUUUAUUCGCUAUGAGAUGGGCCCGCGGCGCAUUAGCUAGUUGGUGAGGUAACGGCUCACCAAGGCGACGAUGCGUAGCCGACCUGAGAGGGUGAUCGGCCACAUUGGGACUGAGACACGGCCCAGACUCCUACGGGAGGCAGCAGUGGGGAAUAUUGCACAAUGGGGGAAACCCUGAUGCAGCAACGCCGCGUGAGUGAUGACGGUCUUCGGAUUGUAAAGCUCUGUCUUUAGGGACGAUAAUGACGGUACCUAAGGAGGAAGCCACGGCUAACUACGUGCCAGCAGCCGCAGUAA
rnacentral:rRNA from 1 species